UACAGAGGGUGCAAACGUUGCUCGGAAUUAUUGGGCGUAAAGCGCACGUAGGCGGCAUCGUAAGUCCGAUGUGAAAGCCCCAGGCUCAACCUGGGAAGUGCAUUGGAUACUGCGGAGCUUGAAUCUGGAAGAGGGUCGCGGAAUUCCCGGUGUAGAGGUGAAAUUCGUAGAUAUUCGGAAGAACACCAGUGGCGAAGGCGACUUACUGGACGACUGUUGACGCUGAGGUGCGAAAGCGUGGGGAGCAAACAGG
rnacentral:rRNA from 1 species